rnacentral:rRNA from 1 species
AUUGAACGCUGGCGGCAUGCUUUACACAUGCAAGUCGAACGGUAACAGGGUGCUUGCACCGCUGACGAGUGGCGAACGGGAGAGUAAUGCGUCGGAACGUGCCGAGUAGUGGGGGAUAACGCAGCGAAAGUUGUGCUAAUACCGCAUACGUACUGAGGUAGAAAGUGGGGGACCUUCGGGCCUCACGCUAUUCGAGCGGCCGACGUCUGAUUAGCUAGUAGGUGAGGUAAAGGCUCACCUAGGCGACGAUCAGUAGCGGGUCUGAGAGGAUGAUCCGCCACACUGGGACUGAGACACGGCCCAAACUCCUACGGGAGGCAGCAGUGGGGAAUUUUGGACAAUGGGCGAAAGCCUGAUCCAGCCAUGCCGCGUGUCUGAAGAAGGCCUUCGGGUUGUAAAGGACUUUUGUCAGGGAGGAAAUCCCUAGUGCUAAUAACACUGGGGGAUGACAGUACCUGAAGAAUAAGCACCGGCUAACUACGUGCCAGCAGCCGCAGUAA